CAGCAGCCGCGGUAAAACGUAGGGUGCAAGCGUUAAUCGGAAUUACUGGGCGUAAAGCGUGCGCAGGCGGUUAUAUAAGACAGAUGUGAAAUCCCCGGGCUCAACCUGGGAACUGCAUUUGUGACUGUAUAGCUAGAGUACGGCAGAGGGGGAUGGAAUUCCGCGUGUAGCAGUGAAAUGCGUAGAUAUGCGGAGGAACACCGAUGGCGAAGGCAAUCCCCUGGGCCUGUACUGACGCUCAUGCACGAAAGCGUGGGGAGCAAACAGGAUUAGAGACCCCUGUAGUCCCUGUCUCUUAUAC
rnacentral:rRNA from 1 species